rnacentral:rRNA from 1 species
UACGUAGGGACCAAGCGUUGUUCGGAUUUACUGGGCGUAAAGGGCGCGUAGGCGGCGUGGUAAGUCAGCUGUGAAAUCUCCGAGCUUAACUCGGAACGGUCAGCUGAUACUGCUGUGCUAGAGUGCAGAAGGGGCAAUCGGAAUUCUUGGUGUAGCGGUGAAAUGCGUAGAUAUCAAGAGGAACACCUGAGGUGAAGACGGGUUGCUGGGCUGACACUGACGCUGAGGCGCGAAAGCCAGGGGAGCAAACGGG